rnacentral:rRNA from 1 species
CCUACGGGAGACAGCAGUGGGGGAUAUUGCACAAUGGGGGGAACCCUGAUGCAGCGACGCCGCGUGGGUGAAGGAGCGCUUCGGCGCGUAAAGCCCUGUCAGCAGGGAAGAAAAUGACGGUACCUGACCAAGAAGCCCCGGCUAACUACGUGCCAGCAGCCGCGGUAAUACGUAGGGGGCAAGCGUUAUCCGGAUUUACUGGGUGGAAAGGGGGCGCAGACGGCGAUGCAAGCCAGGAGUGAAAGCCCGGGGCCCAACCCCGGGACUGCUCUUGGAACUGCGUGGCUGGAGUGCAGGAGGGGCAGGCGGAAUUCCUGGUGUAGCGGUGAAAUGCGUAGAUAUCAGGAGGAACACCGGUGGCGAAGGCGGCCUGCUGGACUGCAACUGACGUUGAGGCCCGAAGGCGUGGGGAGCAAACAGGAUUAGAUACCCCUGUAGUC